UCAACUUUUUUAUCAAUUAAUGGCCAAUGCUAAUUCCUAAUAAUUAACAAACACAUUCUGUGUCAGUUUAAUUAAUAAAAUAUUAACAGUCUCAUAAAAAUUCUCAUUACACAACCUUAUCAUGGAAUUUUACUUUGCAUCAAAGUAAGUCUCAAAUUUAAUUCAUUUCAAUUAAGAAUUAUUAUUUAAUCCUAUUACCACUUUCUCUCUAUACAGAAGUUUUCUGUUUCCAAUAAAUUUUCCUAUUUUUUAGGAACAUCUGCCCGAAAUUUCCGAUAUCAAGAAAGACACUUUUGAUCCUUAUACCCUUUUAACCCAUUAACCUCAACUUGUAGGCAGCCAAAUUGGCGAUUACUCAAUAAGUGUGUAACUAGCAAUAAAUCUGAAGCUUUAAUAUUGGACAUUUUUGUAUAUAUUAAUAUACUGUGAAAAAAAAUUAAAAUUAAUACGGUAUCCAAAGAGGUCGUGUGAUAUUUUGUAUGAAAUACAAAAAUUGUUAAAAUAAAUAUAAAAAUUGGGUACUUUGCUAUUCGAUUGCUCAUGCAUUGCUAGGAUUGAAGAGAUUGGAGAGUUCUUAUGAUUCCCAUAACCUCUACAAAGAGAAGUGGGUUUGAUUCAACAGAAAUGUGAAUGUGAAAGUAAGAUUCCAUUGCACCGAUUCUUAUUUAUCUUUAUACAUACGUAUGGAUAAACACACGAGAACAGAACCAUAGAUAUUUUUACACGUUUCAGCGGACGAACUCAUUCGAGGACCAUUCCACGGAAGUGAUUAGAAAACUUUCUCCACUGGCCGUGACCUCGAUCCGAUUGACGUUUCGGUAACAACGAGCUGGAAGGCCAGAUAAGGCGAAUUAGUGGCCACCACUAAGUUGCAACAGAGAUAGCACAUUGGUGAUAUGAGAAAGUCGUUAGUGUUUAGUUCUGUAGAGUUCCUUUGUACUAUUGGAUUUUUAUAAAGCAGUCUUUUAACGUUCUCUUGAUUAGGAUUUAUGAGUGUGAAAUUUCAACGAAGGAAGCUCGUUCCCAGAAAUUGAUGGAAGGCAAAAUGAAAAAUAGCAUCAAGGUGAUAGGUUUCCACGAAUAACUUAUUUUUCAUCUACUCCUCAUUAAUGUAGCUUAUAGUGAAUUGUUUCUUUUUGAUAAAUUGAUGUAAAGUGAAAUGAAACAUAAAAUGAUGGUAUCAUUCUUUUGAAAGAGUGAUUAUAAGGUAAUUUUAUGUUGUAAUUUUCACAGCAUUGUUCACGCUAUCUAACAUCGUUGAAGAUUGUAGAUCAAUUUUAUUUCUCAUUUUUUACAAAUUAGUUAAUAGUUGAUUAGCUAACGUUAAAAAUUCAAUCUAUACGUUCAAUUUGGAUCUCAAAAUUUGAAUUUUUUUAGUGGUAGAAAUUAAAUGAGAUAUUUUUCGUUAACAAAAGGAAGACUUGGAAUUAUAAGGAAGGAAAUAAAAUAGUAAUAUCGAUAAGAGAAUUGUAAAAGAGAAAUCAAUUGAAAUUUGAAAGUUUCCAAAAUUUACAAUGUUGAACAGUAAUAUGUUAAAUUAUAAUGCAAUGUCAUUAAAUAUUCAACAAGCGCCGAUGACAUGGUCAUCAUAUGCUUACGAAUCUGUCACGGUAUAAUCAAAUAUUAUUCAAUGUCAUGGAACGUGACUGACAUGCGAAUGUUUUAUUACAUGUGUAUUAGGCCAUUCAGGGAACGAUGAAUUAUGUUUUGAAUGCACCGUAACAGUCUCUUAAAUCAAAGUUAAUCUUUUGAUAAAGAAAGACAAUAUCCUCUUUUGAUUGGGUUGUCCGUUUGCAAAAAUCAUCCUAGAUAUUGGAAACUCAUCGCAAACAAAAGUUUAAUGAAAACCAUGAAUCAGCCUGCGACAGAAAUCAUAAAAGCUCGAUCAGAUGCUCGAGAUUCUUCGCGAAGAACGAACUUUCCGCAAACAGGAUAACCCUAUGUAAUGGAAUGGUAAUUGGACAAGAAUCCGUUCAGUUUUCUUCUGCCUACAGCUUCGUCAAGACCGAGAAUAAAUUAUACGUUAAUCGUGUUUAAAAAGAACAUUCGUAAAAACGAGUUUCUAUACUAACAAAUUGCCUAACAAUGCUCACCAUUACUUGGAUUUCUUUUCUUUGUUGAAGAAAAAUUACAACAAUUAGGUUAAGUAGUCGUCUUAGAAUAUUUAGAUUAGAAGGCUAUUUAGAGAUCUAACAAAUUCUCUUAUCUUCCAUACUUCCCCCUUAAGAAAAUAUAUGUGACCUUAAUCUAUAUCUUUUAUAUUCCAAAGGAUUAUAUUUUCAUCCAAUAAUCUUAUAAAUAUAUUGCAUAGAUGUGAAGAGUUGUAAAUAACAAUUAGGAACGGCAAUAAAAGAAUUGAAAAAUAACUAAAAUAUCUGUACUGCUACUAUAACAAAAUAAUAAUAGGAAUACAAACUAUUAAAAAAGGUCAAACGGUAGUAAAAUCUCACAGUUCUUCGUUAGUCCAUACUAUUGUUCUCCAUUUCCGUAAUUGUUAUUUGCCCGUAUAUUUCAAUUACACGCGCAACGAGCGCGUGACGCAAUACGAAUUAAAAUUCCAAGCCGAAGGUUUCACGUUAUGUGAUCCACUUUUCGAUGAACAUCAGACGAAUUUCGUUACGCAAGCAAAUUUUGUUGAGAAAGGGUGUAACAGUCGAAUCGAUUCCAUACAAGGAAGUUAGAGUUUAGCAUUGUUACGCGACUGACCUUUAUCGUAGCUGAAAUUCCGUCUGAGUUUCUCACGGGGUGUGUAUUUUGUAUUUUGAACGCUAGAGCGUGUGUUUGUGUUGUAACGCUAGAACUGCCAACCUAUAAUGUGUACCUAAAUAUGUUAUACAUAGUUAAUUAAUAUUAAAGCAAUAUGUUGAUAACAUAUAAGUAUAUAUAAUCAAGUUCCUGUACCAAUAACAGUAAACUUUAAUAUUAUCAAAAAU